UAAUGAAUGUAGCAUGGUACUGUACACGUAAACUGAAUCAUGGGUUUGAAAUGUCUGUGCCCUCUCUGAAAACUUCUUUGAUUUGCGGGCCUGGUUUAAACCCACAUUC
rnacentral:snoRNA from 1 species